rnacentral:tmRNA from 1 species
GGGGGUGACUGGCUUCGACGGGGUCGGUAACGCCGUGGUUGCGUGCCCAGGUGCUGAGCCCUGGUGAAACACUCGGCAAAACACUACACGCCAACAACAACCUGGCGCUCGCUGCCUAACCCUUCGGGGUUAGCGUAGCAGUGCUCACGGCGCAGCCCGCCCGGGGCGGCACGUGAGUAUCGCAAAUCUGGGCUAGUGCUGUGGUGCGUCGCCGGCCGUAGCGCGAAACAAAGGUGACUCGUCCGGGAGUGGGCGGCCUGCUGGCCAGCGACCGGAGACCUCAAUCAGCAGGAUACGCACGUAGACGCUGCGGUAGCUCUUAUCUCGGACAGGGGUUCGACUCCCCUCACCUCCAC